GAUGAGCCGCCAAAAGAAGAUGUUAAAAGCCCUAUCUUUGAAGACGAUACCCCAUCAGUGAUGGAAAUCGAGAUGGAAGAUCUUGACAAAUGGAUGAGCAACAUAAAGAAAAAUAACAGUCGCCUGUCCACGCUAGAAGAGGAAAAUCACAAUCUUACAAGUGUUGAGUCCUGAUGAGUGCUCGGAAUCGUACUUCUAAUUCACAAAAGAGAACAAAUCAACAAGCUCAAA